AUUGGUAACACAUACGUCUUUAGCCUUUUUGUGGAAAUCUAAAGAUGUUAUUGUUACCUACGG
rnacentral:pre_miRNA from 1 species